UACGUAGGGUGCAAGCGUUAAUCGGAAUUACUGGGCGUAAAGCGUGCGCAGGCGGUUUUGUAAGUCUGUCGUGAAAUCCCCGGGCUUAACCUGGGAAUGGCGAUGGAGACUGCGAGGCUAGAAUCUGGCAGAGGGGGGUAGAAUUCCACGUGUAGCAGUGAAAUGCGUAGAGAUGUGGAGGAACACCGAUGGCGAAGGCAGCCCCCUGGGCUAAGAUUGACGCUCAUGCACGAAAGCGUGGGGAGCAAACAGG
rnacentral:rRNA from 1 species